GCCAAUCUCCAGCAGACCCUCCCUCCCAGACUCUCCCACCUCCUGGACAGCAUCCAUGUUGAAGCUGCCUUCAACAUGGAUGCUGUCCAGGAGGUGGGAGGGUCUGGGAGGGAGGGUCUGCUGCCUUCAACAU